AUGGCGCCAUUGACCAAGCUCUUCCUCCUACUCCUGGGCCUAAACUUGAUGGUCACCGCUGUGCAUGGUGGCUGCGGACCCCACUGCCCGACCCCGACCCCACCACCACCUCCAUCGACCAACGGCGGCACGUGCCCGAUCGACACGCUGAAGCUGGGCGUGUGUGCCACCGUGCUGAACCUGGUGAAGCUCGGGCUCAGCGUGCCGCCCAACGAGCGGUGCUGCCCGCUGCUGGCCGGUCUGGCCGACCUUGACGCCGCUGUGUGCCUCUGCACCGCCAUCAGGGCCAAGGUCCUCGGCGUCAUCAACCUUAACGUCCCCGUCGACCUCGUCCUCCUACUCAACCAGUGCCACAAGACCUGCCCGCCCGGCUUCACCUGCCCGCUCUGA
rnacentral:rRNA from 1 species